GUCGGUCUUAUCGGUUCGCUAGCUAUCACUUGUCAUCAGAUAAAAGAGUAUAUAAAGCACGUAUUAUUGAUGUCCAUUCUUAUAAAACUGUGAACAGAAUCCACCAUGACAGGUAAGGGUGAAACACCUCCUUCAAGGUUAGGAGACGGAGAGGCUGUUUAUCUCGUCAACCAGAGCUCAAACACCUGCCUCAGCGUCACAGCUGGCUCGAGCCCUGACGAUGCCGUGGUCGCCAUGGCGCCCUGCGCCGGCGACCGGAGCCAGCAGUGGCUUCGGGUCGGCGGCCAGUGGCUCUGGGCAGCCAAUGACACCUUCUGCUUGGUGCCAGUCGACGGCACCAACGACGUAGGUCUGGGCGACGCCAACACUUCCUCGGUGUCUUGGAGUUAUGACGAAGCCAGCAGGAUAGUCGUGGGAUCGGACGCCCUGGACGUGCCCUUGGAGGAGCCCAGAACGAGGGUCAUCUUGUCUCCUGCCAAUGAUGACGUCACACAGAAGUGGAUGAUUGACCUCGUGUCACCAGACGAACCAGAAUAUCUCAUCAACCAGAGCAGUAAAACAUGCCUUGGAGUGCGACACGGAUCGACACCGAGUGACGCAUAUGUUGGCAUGCUUAACGGCAAUGGAAUCAAGAACCAACAAUGGUUCUCUGUGGGUGAUUCGUGGCAGUGGGGAGGCAACCGCUUUUACUGCCUCGCCCCUGACUACGAUAACCGAACCGUGAUCCUGGAGGACACCAGUACCUCCACUUCGAUAUGGUACAUGGACGAUGCACACAGAUUGAGAAUCGGAGAAUAUGCUAUCGACGUUCCUCAAACAGCCCCAAGAACACGAGUGGGAUUGUUCAAAGCAAGUGACGCUAUACAUCAAAAAUGGUGGAGGUUCUCUGAUAUAAAGGCUUCACUCGAAGGCACAGAACCACCUGUGUAUCCUUUCCCUGGAAGCGACGAAACCACCUAUAACCAAGAAAUAUACAGAGGUUUAGUAAACUCACUCAUUCCUAAAACUGAACCUUUACCACACCCUCGUGACACACCUACUUUCCCCGGAACAGUUGAUCCUAAAACACCUCGGGUAACAAGAAAGGUCACAUUAGACCUUUCUGUUCUCGGUCAGAAUAGGAAUUUCCGAAUGACAGUUCCCAAAGAUUGGCAGGCCACAGAUCUGUAUGUGGCAGAAGGUGACAUUUGCCAAAUCAUUCUACCAGAAAGUUUGACAACUGAGCAAGCAUUGCAGAUCACAGUCCAGAUUGGUGCACACACUGACAAACUUAAUCCACACUCAUCCAACAUUCAGAAUAAGAAAUACAAGCGAAUGCCAAUCGUGUCAGAAGGAUUCGACGUUUUCCCGGGCGUUAAUGAAGUUCGCAGUCAGUAUGGAGGAAACUUGAUAUUCAUUUUCUCCGAGGGGGAAAAUUUUACAGUUGACGUUGAUGUCAAGAAUGUGGUUGAAGCCCCAUUCUUCCAGUAUGGCGUGACUUCUGCUGAGAACUGGGAAACUGUUAAGAUGCGAGAUGCACCUCAUGCAAUACUGGAGUCAGACAAGUGUGUCGUCGUUGUGCCUUCAUCAGCAGCUCGAGAACUCACGAAUCCUGAUGACCUGAUGGCACGCUACGAUGAAGUUCUCGCCAUGGAGAGUUACGCAGCAGGUUUUGAUGAGACAGAAAUUCCUCCACGCGGAAAAUAUUGGCUGGUGGAUGAUCUUCAGAUUGGUGCUGGAAGUGCCCAUUCUGGGUUUCCAGUUAUGUUCACCCGUGGUUAUUAUAAUCUAGCUAAUCUCGACAUCCCUUAUGACUGGGUAGUUUGGCAUGAAGUAGGUCACAAUCACCAGCAAGGUCCUUUCUGGAGUAAAGCAUAUGGAAGUGAGUCAACUGUUAACCUGUUUUCCCUGUACAUUCAGGAACAGCUGUUUAAUGCUGAUAGGUUGGAAGACAUGAAUUCCUACGUCACCGCUGCUGACAAGGUUGACGGUGGAAUGACCUUCGAUGAGGGAGACGUAUGGGAUAAGCUGGUGUUCCUGAUGGAGAUCAAACACGCUUUCCCAGAGGGAUGGGAGAUGUUCCGCCAGCUCUACCGAACGACUCGAGAUCUUUCCGAUGACGAGGCAAAUUACAUCACCAAAGACCAUCAGCACCAGAUCGACCAUGCGUACAAGAAUCUCAGCAAAAGUGUAGGUUACGACCUGGUUCUGACUUAUGACCGAUGGGGCCUCCCGCUCAGCGAGGAGGCGAAGGAGGAGAUUCAGCAACUAGGACUCGAGAAGGCUCCGGGGGACCUCUCUCACAGACCUCCUUACAGCAGGAAAUAAGGCCAUUGUUAUCCCUGGUCAUUAGAAACUAUUUAAAGACCAUUUCAGUCAUAGUUAUGAUCCUUAAAAAUGUGCACGAUUUCCCGCACAUUACAGUAUGUGUGUGUGUGUGUGCGCGCGCGCGCGCCGUCAGAUUAGAGAAUUGUAAGAUGAAAUUAACUCGCAAAACACAUCAUAAUUAGUAACAUCGAAUAUUGUUCACGAUAUAUGCUGUACCUCACUAGUUUCACAUGUAAUAUACAAAGAGGUCAAAGAGAAAAAGGGAAGAUAAAGAAUGAACAAGACGUGAAUGAUUGUCACGCAUAGUUGUCAUAUCGUCAUUCCUCAAUAAGAACGAGUUUGUGAAUAAAUUAGUAUCCUUGAUCAGCGCCACAGCCUGGUCCUUCUACCACGUUGUUCCAUUAAAAAAAAAGAAACAAUAGUAUCGAAGUAUGAUUUGAAAAUAAGAUCAUGAAAUA
rnacentral:misc_RNA from 1 species